UCAGAAAAGUUAUGUGCCGAGGUCGAAGCAAGCCGUAGGCGUCGCGCUCUCGCUCGCGCUCGUCGUCGCGGUGAUCCUGGCUUCACCACGAAGAAGAAGAUCCUCAUCGUCGUCCUAGGGUUGGACGGAGCAGCCAUGGAUGCCGACGAUGGCUUUCAGCAGACUUGGAAUGGGCAGUCAAGAGUCUGGGUUGCUUAUGCAUGCACAACUGAAGAAGUACAGCAGCAUUUUGAAUCAUAUCGCACAGUUAACAGGGUGAUUAUGCUGACAGAUAAAUGUGGCCAACCAAAGGGUUUUGCUUAUGCGGAAUUCCCGGAAGCAGAAGCUGUUCAAGAGGCUCUCGCUCUGAAUGAAUCUGAGUUGCAUGGAAGGCCAUUGAAGGACCAACGUUCCCGGAUACAAGCAAUUCCGCCCUGGACUUACAAUCUGUAUAUGGGUAACUGCUUCAGGGGGCCUUAUGUACCCUGUUACUUCUAUUCGCGCUAUGGAUAUGGGAACGUUCCAAGGUUCAGAAGGCCAGCAGGAUACAUGCCCUACUGUUAGAAGGCUUUUCAUUAUGCCCUACUAGUCUAUUACUAGAAAACUUCACAUCUGGUUGAUGGGCACAUCAUCCAGCAUAAGACCAUGAUAUUCGUAUUUUUGCUUCACUUGGUAGUGCUAAACAGGAGUUUUUCUGGAAGUAGUGGGAUUAUAACCGUACUUACUCGUGGCCAAUGUGAACUAGCUAAUGGUUUGUAUGCAGAAAAUACUGUAGUAUAUUACUUUGUUUUGUUGAUAUUUCGUGUCAUGCGCGCUGCCAACCUUUGCUAUCG